AGCGAUGUCGCCGCAGCUGGCGUCCUGUGUUCUCUGCGGGAAGACAAGGAGAUGAUCGGUCAUUGCGAUCAGGAUCGGACCAUCAAUGGCUUGCAACACACCCAAGAACCUGCAUGAACCGGAUUGGAAACGUCCCACCUUCACAUAAUUAUUGGCUGCUAAGAACUUGCUUCAACAGAACGGUGAGAAGAAGUACCAACAGACCGACGUGGUGCAAAAGGAGGCAAGUGUGAAGAGAAUACUGGAUCAAGCAAGAUCAAUAGUGAACCUCUUCUGCAAGUCUUCAAUUGCAACACAGAAGCUAUUGGAACAUUGUGGCCUUAUUCUUUUAAAUGACAUGCUGGUCAAGUACAUUCAACAUGAUCGCAAGACUCCUCAAACUGAAAUGCCGCGUACACACGAUCGGAAAUUCCGACAAGAAAAGUCCGAUGUGAGCUUUUGGU